rnacentral:rRNA from 1 species
CUUGCUUUCUGCCGCCGGCGACCGGCGCACGGGUGAGUAACACGUAUGGAACCUGCCCGCAGCAGGGGGAUAAUCGGGGGAAACCCCGUCUAAUACCGCGUAACGACCCGGAGGGGCAUCCCUUCGGGUCCAAAGGUUUACCGGCUGCGGAUGGCCAUGCGUCGCAUUAGCUUGUUGGCGGGGUAACGGCCCACCAAGGCGACGAUGCGUAGGGGUUCUGAGAGGAAGGUCCCCCACACUGGUACUGAGACACGGACCAGACUCCUACGGGAGGCAGCAG